CACGUAGGGUGCGAGCGUUGUCCGGAAUUAUUGGGCGUAAAGAGCUCGUAGGCGGUUUGUCGCGUCUGCCGUGAAAGUCCGGGGCUCAACUCCGGAUCUGCGGUGAGUACGGGCAGACUAGAGUGAUGUAGGGGAGACUGGAAUUCCUGGUGUAGCGGUGAAAUGCGCAGAUAUCAGGAGGAACACCGAUGGCGAAGGCAGGUCUCUGGGCAUUAACUGACGCUGAGGAGCGAAAGCAUGGGGAGCGAACAGG
rnacentral:rRNA from 1 species